rnacentral:rRNA from 1 species
UACGGAGGGUGCAAGCGUUAUCCGGAUUCACUGGGUUUAAAGGGUGCGUAGGUGGGUUGGUAAGUCAGUGGUGAAAUCCCUCAGCUUAACCUGGAAACUGCCAUUGAUACUAUUUGUCUUGAAUACUUUGGAGGUAAGCGGAAUAUGUCAUGUAGCGGUGAAAUGCUUAGAUAUGACAUAGAACACCAAUUGCGAAGGCAGCUUACUACACAGUAAUUGACACUGAGGCACGAAAGCGUGGGGAUCAAACAGG